rnacentral:rRNA from 1 species
UACAACCUGCCCUUCAGAGGGGGACAACAGUUGGAAACGACUGCUAAUACCGCAUACGAUCUAAUCUCGGCAUCGAGGAUAGAUGAAAGGUGGCCUCUACAUGUAAGCUAUCACUGAAGGAGGGGAUUGCGUCUGAUUAGCUAGUUGGAGGGGUAACGGCCCACCAAGACUACGAUGGAUAGGGGUUCUGAGAGGAAGGUCCCCCACAUUGGAACUGAGACACGGUCCAA